UACGUAGGUGGCAAGCGUUGUCCGGAUUUACUGGGCGUAAAGGAUGCGUAGGUGGAUAUUUAAGUGGGAUGUGAAAUACCCGAGCUCAACUUGGGUGCUGCAUUCCAAACUGGAUAUCUAGAGUGCAGGAGAGGUAAGUGGAAUUCCUAGUGUAGCGGUGAAAUGCGUAGAGAUUAGGAGGAACACCAAUGGCGAAGGCAGCUCACUGGGACGUUACUGACGCUGAGACGCGAAAGCGUGGGGAGCAAACAGG
rnacentral:rRNA from 1 species